AAAUUUGAUAGAAUUAUUUGAUAUUAAAGAUAUUCUGAGAUUAAUAAAUUCUAUACAAUUUGUAACUUUUGAUAAUAUUUAGAUAUUUAGAUAAUGUUCAUAUUGAAACUAUGGUACAGAUAGCAAAUUUCAUAUUGAUAUUUAUUCAAAUUUUUAAUACCAUGAUUAUAUUUGAAGAUAUGGACGAGCGAAAGUUUUUUCCAGACUUUUGUUAAACUUCGCAUUUGUGAAAGUGGAUCUCAAAUAUGUAUAUACAUGAUGGAAUUUAAAAUUUGUGAAGAUAGAUGUUUUGCAUAAAUCAUAACACAUGGGAAACUACUGAGUAGAAGAUAUUUUAAACAAUGUAAAUAUACAUAUUAUUGAUGAAUAUUCAGAAAUAUUUGUAAACUUUGAAGCGAUGCAUCUAAUUGCAUAUCUUUAGCUUUUCAUUCCUUGAUUAUCACGAGGCAGCAGUUAUUUGCAUACGUCGCAUAUCUUCGUUUCAGCGUUUCGAGAGAAACGAGGUACAUGUUUGCAAUGAAAGAUGCUUAUAAAUUCAAUGCUUUUCUGUCGCAUAUUUAUUAUUGCACAA
rnacentral:lncRNA from 11 species